rnacentral:rRNA from 1 species
AGUGAACGCUGGCGGUAGGCCUAACACAUGCAAGUCGAACGGCAGCACAGUAAGAGCUUGCUCUUACGGGUGGCGAGUGGCGGACGGGUGAGGAAUACAUCGGAAUCUACUUUUUCGUGGGGGAUGACGUAGGGAAACUUACGCUAAUACCGCAUACGACCUACGGGUGAAAGCAGGGGAUCUUCGGACCUUGCGCGAUUGAAUGAGCCGAUGUCGGAUUAGCUAGUUGGCGGGGUAAAGGCCCACCAAGGCGACGAUCCGUAGCUGGUCUGAGAGGAUGAUCAGACACACUGGAACUGAGACACGGUCCAGACUCCUACGGGAGGCAGCAGUGGGGAAUAUUGGACAAUGGGCGCAAGCCUGAUCCAGCCAUACCGCGUGGGUGAAGAAGGCCUUCGGGUUGUAAAGCCCUUUUGUUGGGAAAGAAAAGCAGCAGGUUAAUACCCCGCUGUUCUGACGGUACCAAAAGAAUAAGCACCGGCUAACUUCGUG